AGAGUUUGAUCCUGGCUCAGGACGAACGCUGGCGGCGUGCUUAACACAUGCAAGUCGAACGGUGACCUCGGAGCUUGCUCCGGGCGAUCAGUGGCGAACGGGUGAGUAACACGUGAGUAACCUGCCCCAGACUCUGGGAUAACCCCGGGAAACCGGAGCUAAUACCGGAUACGACACGAAGAGGCAUCUCUAUCGUGUGGAAAGUUUUUCGGUCUGGGAUGGACUCGCGGCCUAUCAGCUAGUUGGUGAGGUAACGGCUCACCAAGGCGACGACGGGUAGCCGGCCUGAGAGGGCGACCGGCCACACUGGGACUGAGACACGGCCCAGACUCCUACGGGAGGCAGCAGUGGGAAUAUUGCACAAUGGGCGAAAGCCUGAUGCAGCGACGCCGCGUGGGGGAUGACGGCCUUCGGGUUGUAAACCCCUUUCAGCAGGGAAGAAGCGAAAGUGACGGUACCUGCAGAAGAAGCACCGGCUAACUACGUGCCAGCAGCCGCGGUAAUACGUAGGGUGCGAGCGUUGUCCGGAAUUAUUGGGCGUAAAGAGCUUGUAGGCGGUCUGUCGCGUCUGCUGUGAAAAUCCGGGGCUCAACCCCGGACUGGCAGUGGGUACGGGCAGACUAGAGUGUGGUAGGGGAGACUGGAAUUCCUGGUGUAGCGGUGAAAUGCGCAGAUAUCAGGAGGAACACCGAUGGCGAAGGCAGGUCUCUGGGCCACUACUGACGCUGAGAAGCGAAAGCAUGGGGAGCGAACAGGAUUAGAUACCCUGGUAGUCCAUGCCGUAAACGUUGGGAACUAGGUGUGGGUCUCAUUCCACGAGAUCCGUGCCGCAGCUAACGCAUUAAGUUCCCCGCCUGGGGAGUACGGCCGCAAGGCUAAAACUCAAAGGAAUUGACGGGGGCCCGCACAAGCGGCGGAGCAUGCGGAUUAAUUCGAUGCAACGCGAAGAACCUUACCAAGGCUUGACAUAUACCGGAAACAUUCAGAGAUGGAUGCCCCGCAAGGUCGGUAUACAGGUGGUGCAUGGUUGUCGUCAGCUCGUGUCGUGAGAUGUUGGGUUAAGUCCCGCAACGAGCGCAACCCUCGUUCUAUGUUGCCAGCGGAUAAUGCCGGGGACUCAUAGGAGACUGCCGGGGUCAACUCGGAGGAAGGUGGGGAUGACGUCAAAUCAUCAUGCCCCUUAUGUCUUGGGCUUCACGCAUGCUACAAUGGCCGGUACAAAGGGCUGCGAUACCGCAAGGUGGAGCGAAUCCCAAAAAACCGGUCUCAGUUCGGAUUGGGGUCUGCAACUCGACCCCAUGAAGUCGGAGUCGCUAGUAAUCGCAGAUCAGCAACGCUGCGGUGAAUACGUUCCCGGGCCUUGUACACACCGCCCGUCAAGUCACGAAAGUCGGUAACACCCGAAGCCGGUGGCCCAACCUUUUGGAGGGAGCCGUCGAAGGUGGGACUGGCGAUUGGGACUAAGUCGAAACAAGGUA
rnacentral:rRNA from 1 species